rnacentral:ncRNA from 1 species
UAAAAGGCGUUGAUUAGGAAGAGUAGUUAAUCUAUAAGCUUUCAGAGAGUGAGGUAUGGUGGAAUCUCACAGUAGAGGAUUAAUGAAAAUCACCUAUGAGCUGAGAACUGAAAGCAUGUGUUGUGAGUAAGUUUAUACGUAAUUCUGCGUUAAAGAAUAGAGCAUUAUACAGUUGACUAUUGGCAAUUUAUGUUAGACGGCUAUAAUUGAAAUUUUAGUUGUGCAUUGGCAAUUGUUAAUUUAAGUGUUUGUGCUUGAAAUUUUGUUACCAUAGGUGGUAUAGCGGAUUUAACUUCGUCCUAUUU